GGGUCGAAGCGGAGAAUUUAAGCCCCAGUAAACGGCGGUGGUAACUAUAACCAUCCUAAGGUAGCGAAAUUCCUUGUCGGGUAAGUUCCGACCUGCACGAAUGGCGUAACGACUUCCCUGCUGUCUCAACUACAGGCCCGGUGAAAUUGCAGUACGAGUAAAGAUGCUCGUUACGCGCGGCAGGACGAAAAGACCCCGGGACCUUCACUACAACUUGGUAUUGGUGUUCGGGUCGGUUUGUGUAGCAUAGGUGGGAGACGUGGAAGCAUUAACGCUAGUUGGUGUGGAGUCGCACGGUGAAAUACCACUCUGACCGAUUCGGAUAUCUCAACCUUGGCCCAUGAUCUGGGUUGGGGACAGUGCCUGGUGGGUAGUUUAACUGGGGCGGUUGCCUCCCAAAGAGUAACGGAGGCGCCCAAAGGUUCCCUCAGCCUGGUUGGCAAUCAGGUGUUGAGUGUAAGUGCACAAGGGAGCUUAACUGUGAGACAGACAUGUCAAGCAGAUACGAAAGUAGGGACUAGUGAUCCGGCACCUCAUCGUGGAUUGGGUGUCGCUCAACGGAUAAAAGGUACCCCGGGGAUAACAGGCUGAUCUUCCCCAAGAGUCCAUAUCGACGGGAUGGUUUGGCACCUCGAUGUCGGCUCGUCGCAUCCUGGGGCUGGAGUAGGUCCCAAGGGUUGGGCUGUUCGCCCAUUAAAGCGGCACGCGAGCUGGGUUUAGAACGUCGUGAGACAGUUCGGUCUCUAUCCGCCGCGCGCGUUGAAACUUGAGAAAAGCUGUCCUUAGUACGAGAGGACCGGGACGGACGUACCUCUAGUGUGCCAGUUGUUCCACCAGGAGCACGGCUGGUUAGCUACGUACGGACAGGAUAACCGCUGAAAGCAUCUAAGCGGGAAGCCCCUUUCAAGACCAGGUUUCUUUUGAGGUACCCCAGAGAUGAUGGGGUUGAUAGGCCAGAACUGGACGCACAGUAAUGUGUUCGAGGUGACUGGUACUAACCCACCAACAAAAAACA
rnacentral:rRNA from 1 species